AGUGAACGCUGGCGGUAGGCCUAACACAUGCAAGUCGAACGGCAGCACCGUAAGAGCUUGCUCUUACGGGUGGCGAGUGGCGGACGGGUGAGGAAUACAUCGGAAUCUACUUUUUCGUGGGGGAUAACGUAGGGAAACUUACGCUAAUACCGCAUACGACCUACGGGUGAAAGCAGGGGAUCUUCGGACCUUGCGCGAUUGAAUGAGCCGAUGUCGGAUUGGCUAGUUGGCGGGGUAAAGGCCCACCAAGGCGACGAUCCGUAGCUGGUCUGAGAGGAUGAUCAGCCACACUGGAACUGAGACACGGCCCAGACUCCUACGGGAGGCAGCAGUGGGGAAUAGUGGACAAUGGGCGCAAGCCUGAUCCAGCCAUACCGCGUGGGUGAAGAAGGCCUUCGGGUUGUAAAGCCCUUUUGUUGGGAAAGAAAAGCAGCAGGUUAAUACCCCGCUGUUCUGACGGUACCCAAAGAAUAAGCACCGGCUAACUUCGUG
rnacentral:rRNA from 1 species